GGCUGUGAUUGGCCCACUAGUGCGAGCGAGAGCGCGGCCAGAUAGUGCUCGAGGCAGUUUGGUUGAGGGCCGAGGAGUGACGUGUCGGUCCGCGGACUGCGAGUAAGUCGCGUGGGCGGGGUGCCACCGCGGUCCGUUGAGGCCUAGUCACGUGACCAGAAGCGGAAACUACGCGGAGAAACAGCCGAAACUACAAACCUCUCGGGUCCACUUCUGAGUUACUCUAAGUGGAGCAAGAGACCAAAAUCUAACCUGAGUUACAAGAAACAAGACAGUGAUGGCUAUUUUAAAGGGAGUGA